rnacentral:rRNA from 1 species
UACGUAGGGUGCGAGCGUUAAUCGGAAUUACUGGGCGUAAAGCGUGCGCAGGCGGUUCGUUGUGUCGGCGGUGAAAGCCCCGGGCUCAACCUGGGAAUGGCCGUUGAAACUGGCGAACUGGAGUGUGGCAGAGGGGGGUGGAAUUCCGCGGUGUAGCAGUGAAAUGCGUAGAGAUGCGGAGGAACACCGAUGGCGAAGGCAGCCCCCUGGGCUAACACUGACGCUCAUGCACGAAAGCGUGGGGAG